rnacentral:rRNA from 1 species
GCGUUGUCCGGAAUCAUUGGGCGUAAAGGGCGGGUAGGCGGCCAGGUAGGUCUGCUGUGAAAACUCGAGGCUUAACCUCGAGCUGUCGGCGGAAACCAUCUGGCUAGAGUCCGGAAGAGGAGAAUGGAAUUCCCGGUGUAGCGGUGAAAUGCGCAGAUAUCAGGAGGAACACCCGUGGCGAAAGCGGCUCUCUGGGACGGUACUGACGCUGAGACGCGAAAGCGUGGGGAGCAAACAGG